rnacentral:rRNA from 1 species
CCUACGGGUGGCAGCAGUGGGGAAUAUUGCACAAUGGGCGAAACUCUGAUCCAGCAACGCCGCGUGAAGGAUGAAGGGUUUCGGCUCGUAAACUUCUAUCCAAAGGGACGAAAGAAAUGACGGUACCUGAAUAAGAAGCCUCGGCUAACUACGUGCCAGCAGCCGCGGUAAUACGUAGGGGGCAAGCGUUAUCCGGAAUUACUGGGUGUAAAGGGUGAGUAGGCGGCUUGGUAAGUCAGAAGCGGAAGCCCUAGGCUUAACCUGAGAACUACUAUUAAAACUAUCGAACUUGAGUACAGGAGGGGAAACCGGAAUUCCUAGUGUAGCGGUGGAAUGCGUAGAUAUUAGGAGGAACACCAGUGGCGAAGGCGGGUUGCUAGACUGAAACUGACGCUGAGGCACGAAAGCGUGGGGAGCGAACAGGAUUAGAUACCCGAGUAGUC